CACACGACUCUCGGCAACGGAUAUCUCGGCUCUCGCAUCGAUGAAGAACAUAGCGAAAUGCGAUACCUGGUGUGAAUUGCAAAAUCCCGCGAACCAUCGAGUCUUUGAACGCAAGUUGCGCCCGAGGCCACUCGGCCGAGGGCACGCCCGCCUGGGCGUCACGC
rnacentral:rRNA from 1 species